rnacentral:rRNA from 1 species
UGGGGAAUUGUUCGCAAUGGGCGCAAGCCUGACGACGCAACGCCGCGUGGAGGAUGAAGACUUUCGGGUCGUAAACUCCUUUCGACCGAGAUGAAUUUCCGCCGACCCAACACGUCGGUGGAGUGACAGUAUCGAGGGAAGAAGCCCCGGCUAACUCCGUGCCAGCAGCCGCGGUAAUACGGGGGGGGCAAGCGUUGUUCGGAAUUACUGGGCGUAAAGGGUUCGUAGGUGGCCAACUAAGUCAGACGUGAAAUCCCUCAGCUUAACUGGGGAACUGCGUCUGAUACUGAUUGGCUUGAGUGCAGGAGAGGAACGCGGAAUUCCAGGUGUAGCGGUGAAAUGCGUAGAUAUCUGGAGGAACACCGGUGGCGAAGGCGGCGUUCUGGACUGCAACUGACACUGAGGAACGAAAGCCAGGGGAGCAAACGGGAUUAGAUACCCCGGUAGUCCUAGGCCCUAAACGAUGAAUGCUUGGUGUGGCGGGUAUCGAUCCCUGCCGUGCCGAAGUUAACGCGA